rnacentral:misc_RNA from 1 species
AACGCACAUUGCGCCCAUUAGUAUUCUAGUGGGCAUGCCUGUUCGAGCGUCAUUAAGUCCAUUAAGCCUAGUUGCUUAGCGUUGGGAGCAUUACCGUAUGGUAACUCCUCAAAGUCAGUGGCAGGGUUACGGUACACUCUAAGCGUAGUAGAUCUCUUUCUCGCUUUUGCUGUGGCCGCGGCCGUUGCCAUAAACCUAUACUUUUUAGUUGGUUGACCUCGGAUCAGGUAGGAAUACCCGCUGAACUUAA